ACAAAACUUCCUUUUCCUAUAGUUUGCCUCAGGUUUGCCUUACUUUGGAAGCCCUUGCACUAAAAACCUUGUUUGCACUAGGUCUCCUGAACCUCAGAUGCAUUUCGUUAGUUGCUCCUCUCGUGCUCCGUCCCCCCGCGUGGGUGGAGGGGGUCCGCGCGGGAGGUGGGAGCACCCCGAGUGCAACGAGAUAGCUGCAUGAAGAAGUAGGAUAUAUAUGGGUACAUGGGACCUUUGUAGUCUAUGCCUCGGUUUUGGGAUUAAGGUGGCGGCGUUGGAAGACAUGGGUACUCUAGGGUAGAACCCCGGAAAAGGCCGCGAGGCGGCCUCCCCCGUAACUAGUACCUCCCGAAGAUGUAGUUGUGGUAUCGGAAAAGCUACUACACACUCAUGAAAUGGAGUCUGGAAGCCCAGGUAUCAAUAAUCGAUCUACCGAAGAAGAGAGAGAAACCUAGAGUUAUGUUUCAAGAGGAGCUAAGAGAACCUCUAGAUAAGCUACAUUAGAAGAAAAC
rnacentral:rRNA from 1 species